rnacentral:rRNA from 1 species
AGAGUUUGAUCAUGACUCAGGAGAACGCUAUCGGCAGAUUUAAUACAUGCAAGUCGAUGGCAGCAGGUUCGUAGCAAUACAAAUGCUGGCGACCGGCAAACGAGUGUGGAACACGUACACAACGUUCCUUCAAGGGGGAAUAGCCCAGAGAAAUUCGGAUUAAUACCCCGUAACAUUAUGAUGUGGCAUCACAUUAUAAUUAUAGAUCCGGCGCUUAAUGAUGGGUGUGCGGCUGAUUAGGUAGUUGGCGGGGUAACGGCCCACCAAGCCUGCGAUCAGUAACUGGUGUGAGAGCACGACCAGUCACACGGGCACUGAGACACGGGCCCGACUCAUACGGGAGGCAGCAGUAAGGAAUAUUGGGCAAUGGAGGCAACUCUGACCCAGCCAUGCCGCGUGGAGGAUGAAGGCCCUCUGGGUAGUAAACUCCUUUUAUAUGGGACGAAAACGGGCUUUUUUAAGUCAACUGACGGUACCAGAUGAAUAAGCACCGGCUAACUCCGUGCCAGCAGUCGUGCUAAUACGGAGGGUGCAUGCGUUAUCCGGAUUCACUGCGUUUAAAGGGUGCGUAGCUGGGUUGGUAAGUCAGUGGUGAAAUCCCCGAGCUUAACUUGGGAACUGCCAUUGAUACUAUCAGUCUAGAAUAUUGUGGAGGUCAGCGGAAUAUGUCAUGUAGCGGUGAAAUGCUUAGAUACGACAUAGAACACCAAAUGUGAAGGCAGCAGGCUACACAUAUAUAGACAGUGAGGCAGGAAAAGAUGUGGGGAUCAAACAGGAUUAGAUACCCUGGUAGUACACGCCGUAAACUAU